GCUUCCGUGGCGCAACUGGUUAGCGCGUAGUGCUGUUAACGCUAAGGUUUCUGGUUCAAAUCCAGGCGGGAGCG